rnacentral:rRNA from 1 species
AACGAACGCUGGCGGCAGGCUUAACACAUGCAAGUCGAACGAGAUCUUCGGAGCUAGUGGCAGACGGGUGAGGAACACGUGGGAACAUCCCUUUCAGUUCGGAAUAACGUUGGGAAACUAACGCUAAUACCGGAUACGUCCUUCGGGAGAAAGAUUUACCGCUGAAAGAUUGGCCCGCGUCUGAUUAGCUAGUUGGUGAGGUAAUGGCUCACCAAGGCUACGAUCAGUAGCUGAUCUGAGAGGAUGAUCAGCCACAUUGGGACUGAGACACGGCCCAAACUCCUACGGGAGGCAGCAGUGGGGAAUAUUGGACAAUGGGCGCAAGCCUGAUCCAGCCAUGCCGCGUGAGUGAUGACGGCCUUCGGGUUGUAAAGCUCUUUUGUCCGGGAAGAUAAUGACUGUACCGGAAGAAUAAGCCCCGGCAAACUUCGUGCCAGCAGCCGCCGUAAUAC